rnacentral:rRNA from 1 species
AUGAUAAACCUAAAGGCGCAAUGAAAGUGAAGGUCCGCCUCGCGCGGACCGAGGGAGGAUGGGCCCGGCCCCGGUCGGGCCCCGCACUCCCGGGGCGUCUCGUUCUCAUCGCGAGAUGAGGCGCACCCAGAGCGUACACGCUGGGACCCGAAAGAUGGUGAACUAUGCCUGGUCAGGACGAAGUCAGGGGAAACCCUGAUGGAGGUCCGUAGCGAUUCUGACGUGCAAAUCGAUCGUCGGAACUGGGUAUAGG